AUUGAACGCUGGCGGCAUGCCUUACACAUGCAAGUCGAACGGUAACGGGCCUUCGGGUGCCGACGAGUGGCGAACGGGUGAGUAAUGUAUCGGAACGUACCUUUCAGUGGGGGAUAACGUAGCGAAAGUUACGCUAAUACUGCAUAUUCUGUGAGCAGGAAAGCAGGGGAUCGCAAGACCUUGCGCUGAUUGAGCGGCCGAUAUCAGAUUAGCUAGUUGGUGAGGUAAAGGCUCACCAAGGCGACGAUCUGUAGCGGGUCUGAGAGGAUGAUCCGCCACACUGGAACUGAGACACGGUCCAGACUCCUACGGGAGGCAGCAGUGGGGAAUUUUGGACAAUGGGGGCAACCCUGAUCCAGCCAUGCCGCGUGAGUGAAGAAGGCCUUCGGGUUGUAAAGCUCUUUCGGCUGGGAAGAAAUCGUAUCAGCUAAUACCUGGUGCGGAUGACGGUACCGGCAUAAGAAGCACCGGCUAACUACGUGCCAGCCGCCGCCGUAAAAC
rnacentral:rRNA from 1 species